rnacentral:rRNA from 1 species
GACGGGGGGUCCUAGCGUUGUUCGGAAUCAUUGGGCGUAAAGCGUGUGCAGGUGGCUCUGUAAGUUGGAUGUGAAAGCCUUGGGCUUAACCCAAGAAGUGCAUUCAAAACUACAGAACUUGAGUAAGGAAGAGGGUCGUGGAAUUCCUGGUGUAGUGGUGAAAUACGUAGAUAUCAGGAGGAACACCGGUGGCGAAGGCAGCUCGCUGGGACGUGACUGACGCUGAGACGCGAAAGCGUGGGGAGCAAACAGG